CCUCGACUUCGACUACGUCCAAGGAGCUGCUUUCACAACAUCAACCAGAUCACCCUCACAGAAACUCGUAUUCAUCGACCCAACGAUGAUGGGAUCACAUAUAUUGACACGAAUUGGCUGAGGUCAAUAGAGUCAACAUGGCAAUCAACGACGAUGAGAAUGGGGACUAAGCAGGUGGCUUAGGGU